CGGGCCGCGGCCCCGCGCAGCCACAGCGAGCCCGGCCGCCGGGACUGGGCCGCCGCGUUCCUCCGCCGGCGGCUGCGGCUGCUGCUGGGAGCGGCCGGGGCGCGGGAGGAGCGGAGCGAGCCCUCUGGCGGCUGCGGCGCCGGCUGCAUGAACUGCGGCGCAGGAGCAGAAAGGAUUUUAAUGUCUGAAGCGGGAGAGAAAUGAAUCAGCAAAUUAUCCUGGAGAUGGAAGACGGACACCGUACAGCAAGAGCAAACCUCAGAGCAGGGAGGCCAACGCUGGAGUGAGGGUUAUCCAGCAGGUUCUUCGCCUUAUGUUCUGAUUUGCCUCCCCCAGUCUACCAGCAGCAGCCAGGUGGAGAAAGGUUUUUGGUCGCAUGUAAGUACCUGAAAUUCCACCUGGAAGGACAAUCUCUCAGAAUUCAGGAGCGCUGUAGAACUGCCCAUCCAAUUCUUGGAAAAGACUAUCUGCAGAGAUUCCACCCCUCUCAUGACCAUAAAUAGUCAUGUAACAAAUGUAGGAUGCAGGAAAAUAUGAUAAAGAAAAAUAUAGGAAGGGAAGCAAAGCAAAGCAAAUGGACAGGAGACUAGGGAAGAUACCUGAAG